GCGGUGAGCCUGGCGCUGGCAGUGUUGGUGACACUCACGUGGUGGUGGUGGCACCAGCACUGGCGGUGUCUGUACCAGCAG